rnacentral:siRNA from 1 species
UUGUACAAGAGGUGGAUGGGCCAC